ACCGGUAAGGCCCUCGGUCGGCAGGCCCGGAAAGCGCCGCCGUACCUCGUCCCGGCUCAGGAACCAGCCGGGCGGGAUCUGGCGCGCACGGUCGGCGAUGCCGCGAUUGCGGCCGAGCGUCAGCCCGUCAUAGAGCGCCAUGCCGGCGCGCAGCACGGGCUUGCUCUUCAUGCCCCUGCCGUAGGUCGGGAUCACGAUCGGCAGCGGGUGGGCCAAAUGCGGUGCCACCCGGAGGAAAGC
rnacentral:misc_RNA from 1 species